GGCCAGCCUGAGAAAGGUGUCUGUAGAAAAAGAAAUGCAGUACAAUGAUGCGUUCACCAUACAAAAAGUGGCCCCAGACCUGGUGGAAAACUUCAACUGCAUGGCGGGCAUGGUGCCUUUUCUACAGAACUUGAUCAAACAGAAAAAAGCUGGUCAGAAUUUAACAGCCAAACAAGCCCAAGACAUCAA